rnacentral:rRNA from 1 species
UGGCGGACGGGUGAGUAACACGUGAGCAACCUGCCUUUCAGUGGGGGACAACAGUUGGAAACGACUGCUAAUACCGCAUAACGUGCCGGAAGGGCAUCCUUUUGGUACCAAAGAUUUAUCGCUGAAAGAUGGGCUCGCGUCUGAUUAGAUAGUUGGUGAGGUAACGGCCCACCAAGUCGACGAUCAGUAGCCGGACUGAGAGGUUGGCCGGCCACAUUGGGACUGAGACACGGCCCAGACUCCUACGGGAGGCAGCAG